rnacentral:piRNA from 1 species
UGCAAGGUUACUUUUCAGGGUGUGUCGGGU